rnacentral:lncRNA from 1 species
GAGCCCUGCCUACCCUUAAGAACGCAUUUGGGAAGUAGGGCAGAGGCCGAAGCCAUGACAGGCGAGGGUACGGUGGACGAUAGCCCUCAACUGUCCUAGCAGAAAUGCCGGUGAGCUGAAGACUGCAGCCCGUGACAGACAGCUCCUUAUUUAUGCCCAGAUUCAAAUGCUGAGUGAUAAUAAAAACUGGAAACAAGCCUAAGUGUGCAUCAGAGAGAGAAUGGUUAAAUAAACUACAGUCAUACCUAUAUGGUCAUGGAAAAGAAUGAGAUCAAGCCCUGUGUGCUGAUGUAGAAUGAUCUCCAGGACAUAUAGCUCUGUUCCUUCAUCGUGCACUGGAGAUUAAACACACGGAAGUUGCCUUGGAAAACCACACAUAUCAGUGAGCAGGGCUGAAGCGCGCACUUUGAGAUCCCCGCUGUACCGAGCUGCGUCUGAGUUAAGAAACCGUGGCGCCCCAUCUGCCACCACUCUGAGCUAAGGAAUCCGAUUCCCCAAAUUCACCCUAGGAGGCAAACAGGAGAACGGGGCAGGGCACGGUUCCUAUCUUGUUUCGUGUAGGAGGAAGGAGAAACGUGGGCAAGGAAGAUUUUCGUCUCCAGACUUUCCUGAUGUUGAUUAAAUGUCCGGGGGAGUAGAGUAGGAGGAGAAGCGCAGGAG